AGUGUGCCGGGAUGAGCGGGGGCUGGACUUCUAGAAAGGGGUCUGCGGGCGCAGGAGCUGGGGUCCGCGGUCUGGGGCCGGUGUGAAACUGCGGUGUGGCCUCCAGCCAACACAAGCCAUCAGCCCCAUGCUCAGCUCCCAGCAGGCAGAGCGUUCAGAAGCGCCAGCGCCAUCAUCUUGGGAGCCUGCAGUCCACACACCGCUGACCUUACCUACUUCCUCUUUCCAGGUCGUAGAUUACAGACUCUCCUCUGGGAAAUUGCCCCCAGAUCUAACAGGAGUACAAGAAGCUGGGUAGAUUGGAAAACAGCACCGAAUUCCCCUGGAACUGAGGACGGAAGCCUUCCCAGUCCUGCAGCCACCUGCAGACUCUCACAAGCACGGUGCUCCCGGGAGAAGACCUUGCUACCCCAGGCCCAAGGCAGUCGAGAGAAAACGGGAAGCCCUGAAGGUUUUUCACCCCGGGGGUGAGAGUGUAUGAUCGAAGAUAUAUUUGAGGGUAAUUGUACAGAUAGUCCCAACUUAGCAUUGUUCAACUUUAUGAUGGUAUGAAAGUGAUGACAUUCAGUAGAAAUUGUACUUCAAGUGCCAAUACAAUCAGUUUUUCACUUUUGGUGCAGUAUUCAAUAAAUUACAUGAGAUAUUCAACACUUUACUUUAAAA
rnacentral:lncRNA from 1 species